rnacentral:rRNA from 1 species
GGCCAGACUCCUACGGGAGGCAGCAGUGGGGAAUAUUGCACAAUGGGGGAAACCCUGAUGCAGCGACGCCGCGUGAGUGAAGAAGUAUUUCGGUAUGUAAAGCUCUAUCAGCAGGGAAGAAAAUGACGGUACCUGAAGAAGAAGCCCCGGCUAACUACGUGCCAGCAGCCGCGGUAAUACGUAGGGGGCAAGCGUUAUCCGGAUUUACUGGGUGUAAAGGGGGCGCAGACGGCGAUGCAAACCAGGAGUGAAAGCCCGGGGCCCAACCCCGGGACUGCUCUUGGAACUGCGCGGCUGGAGUGCAGGAGGGGCAGGCGGAAUUCCUGGUGUAGCGGUGAAAUGCGUAGAUAUCAGGAGGAACACCGGUGGCGAAGGCGGCCUGCUGGACCGUGACUGACGUUGAGGCUCGAGAGCGUGGGGAGCAAACAGGAUUAGAUACCCGAGUA